rnacentral:snRNA from 1 species
GCCUGUACCUGGGUGGGGUUUAUUGGUGAUUAUGAAGGCCAAUGGCCUAGGUUUGGCUUUCCCAUUGCACUACGGCUUGGCCGGCCUACCAUCUUCCCAAAGUGGAGGAGUGGACGUUGUAAUUUGAGGGC